UAGUCUUUAUGUAUUAAUGUGGUCUAGUAACACUAAUGCCAUAGGACACGGCAAGGAAGUGAAGAAGUGGCAGCAUGGGCACACAUUGGGCAGACACAAUAACGUCUCUGACAAAGACCACUGCAGGCUAGCAUGCACCGGGCCCAGGAUUGAGUGGCGUGAAGAACACUGGUAAAGAAUGGCCUCAUUCGUCAUGUCCCUCAGCCACAAGGAUACAACAAAGAAGAAGAGAAUUAUUCUUCUAAAAUUUACUUCUGCAGCUCAUUAAUUUCCAUUUUCGACUCUGCUACUUUUUCAACCGGCCGCUUUCAUUUUGGUUUACCUAUAACAAAGUAAUGUUUUAGAAUAGUACUGCAUAAAAACAAUAAAAAAAUUGUUCACAAA